UACGUAGGGUGCAAGCGUUGUCCGGAAUUAUUGGGCGUAAAGAGCUCGUAGGCGGUUCGUCGCGUCGGCUGUGAAAACCCGGAGCUCAACUCCGGGCCUGCAGUCGAUACGGGCGGACUUGAGUGUUGCAGGGGAGACUGGAAUUCCUGGUGUAGAGGUGAAAUGCGCAGAUAUCAGGAGGAACACCGGUGGCGAAGGCGGGUCUCUGGGCCAUUACUGACGCUGAGGAGCGAAAGCGUGGGGAGCGAACAGG
rnacentral:rRNA from 1 species